AAAAAAACAUCCCCGCCCAAUCCCCUGGCGCAUCCCCGACCCAAUCCCCACCUUCCCCGCUGGGUUGCCACCCACCGGAUCUGCUGCCCACCGGCGUGUGCUGCCGGCAACCGGAGCCGCCGCCCACACCCCCUGAUCUUUCGUAGCCGAACCACCUCCCCGGGUCCCCACGCCGCCGCACGCCCUCCCCGGAGAACCCCAUCGUCGCACCCCCAUCCUCAUCCUCACCACCAACCACCGCCCAUGGCCUUCCCGACCUCCAACCACCACGCCGCUGGCCCAACAUCCGACCACCGCCGUGGGCGCAUCCAUUCCCAGGGACGCAGGUGCGGCAGAGCGCCGCCCGUCCAUCCUACGACGCCGUCUCCGCCCCCAUAAGGAAACCGUGCCGCCGCCGCCCCCAAUGUCCCACGCCCGCAAAUUCCAUGGUACCACCGUCACAACCACUCUCGCCUGCCGGUGUCGAGAAUGGAUGCGGCCGCCCUUGCACACUGCCCUCAUGCUGCUGCUGGCCGGCCCUCAUACGCAUACACGACCUCUGCCGGAGCUCCUGCAGCCGCUGUCACCGCCCUACCAUCUGCUCGCGACCGCGGCCCCUCCGUCCUCCUCUCAGGAGGCCGUUGGUAACCCAUGGUAUGCUGUAGGAACAAAGUGAGGGAGUGCGAAUGCAUUCAUCUUAGCUAGCUUCAGCAAAGGAAGUUGUCCAUGCAGUCACCCGAUUACCCUAGGAACAUAGGAUGCUCACCAUUGCUUUGCUAUGGUAUUGGUGGCAAGAAAGAAAUCGUGGAAAUCAUGGUGAAUGCAGAGCCACAACGGAGGAGUUCCAAUAUGAUAUUCGGUUUCAUGUGAAUGAAUGGAAGGAGUUCGUUGAUAGCAAGCCUGCAGUCCUUAAUACCACUGUCGACUGCUCUUGGGUGCCACCACCGCUUAACACAAUGAAGAUUAAUAUUGAUGGUGCUUAUUCAGCACAAGCUGGGGGUGGCGGAUGGGGACUGAUAUGUAGAGAUGCUACCCGAGAGAUACUAUUUGCUGUUGGUGGUUCAUCCUCAGCCAUGGCCAGUGCCCUUCAUGCUGAGACGACAGCCCUGCUAACAAGCUGUGUCAAUCUUGCUGAUCAAAUAGGUGUGGGGAGAGUUGAGUUUGAGACCGAUUAUCUAGUACUGAACAAGCUGUGUCUAUUGAUAUUGAUGAUCGGUCUUCUCUUGGACAAGCCUUUAGAGAACUCAAGUUUAGGCUUGCUACAUGUUUUAUCCAAGCUAGUGUAGUGCAUACACCACGUGAGUGUAACAAGCCAGCGCAUGUGUUGGCAGCGUUCGGUUCGGGUCUAGCUCAUGUUGAAAGCCGCCAGUGGCCGUCAAACUAUCCUGAUGAUGUAACCCGUGCUAUAACCGGCGAUUUAGCCGCAUGUUAAUGGAAUACGAGUGUUCCAUAUCAAAAAAAAUAUACAGGAAUGCUAAGCUAUGGCCCCGCUUC